rnacentral:rRNA from 1 species
UACGUAGGGUGCAAGCGUUGUCCGGAAUUAUUGGGCGUAAAGAGCUCGUAGGCGGCUUGUCGCGUCGAAUGUGAAAACUCGGGGCUCAACCCCGCGCUUGCAUUCGAUACGGGCAGGCUCGAGUUCGGUAGGGGAGACUGGAAUUCCUGGUGUAGCGGUGAAAUGCGCAGAUAUUAGGAGGAACACCGGUGGCGAAGGCGGGUCUCUGGGCCGAUACUGACGCUGAGGAGCGAAAGCGUGGGGAGCGAACAGG